rnacentral:rRNA from 1 species
GGUUGAUCCUGCCAGUAGUCAUAUGCUUGUCUCAAAGAUUAAGCCAUGCAUGUCUAAGUAUAAACAAAUUUGUACUGUGAAACUGCGAAUGGCUCAUUAAAUCAGUUAUAGUUUAUUUGAUGGUGCUUUGCUACAUGGAUAACUGUGGUAAUUCUAGAGCUAAUACAUGCAAUCAAGCCCCGUCAGGGGUGUAUUUAUUAGAUAAAAAACCAACGCGGCUCGCCGCUCCUUGGUGAUUCAUAAUAACUUCUCGAAUCGCAUGGCCUUGUGCUGGCGAUGCUUCAUUCAAAU